rnacentral:rRNA from 1 species
AACGAGCGCUGGCGGCAUGCCUAACACAUGCAAGUCGAACGAGACCUUCGGGUCUAGUGGCGCACGGGUGCGUAACGCGUGGGAACCUGCCCUUAGGUUCGGAAUAACUCCCCGAAAGGGGUGCUAAUACCGGAUAAUGUCUUCGGACCAAAGAUUUAUCGCCUUUGGAUGGGCCCGCGUUGGAUUAGCUAGUUGGUAGGGUAAAAGCCUACCAAGGCGACGAUCCAUAGCUGGUCUGAGAGGAUGAUCAGCCACACUGGGACUGAGACACGGCCCAGACUCCUACGGGAGGCAGCAGUGGGGAAUAUUGGACAAUGGGCGAAAGCCUGAUCCAGCAAUGCCGCGUGAGUGAUGAAGGCCUUAGGGUUGUAAAGCUCUUUUACCCGGGAUGAUAAGGACAGUACCGGGAGAAUAAGCUCCGGCUAACUCCGU